AGGUGAGGCUCGUUAGCCGUGGUAGGCAAUUCACCUAGGAGAGCAAACUCUAUACAAACCCGGGCAGGUGAGGCUCGUUAGCCGUGGUAGGCAAUUCACCUAGGAGAGCAAACUCUAUACAAACCCGGGCAGGUGGAGCUCGUCAGCCGUGGUAGGCAAUUCACCUAGGAGAGCAAACUCCGAACAACAAACCCGGGCAGGUGGAGCUCGUCAGCCGUGGUAGGCAAUCUGCCUAGGAGAGCAAACUCCGAACAACAAACCCGGGCAGGUGGAGGUCGUCAGCCGUGGUAGGCAAUCUGCCUAGGAGAGCAAACUCCGAACAACAAACCCGGGCAGGUGGAGGUCGUCAGCCGUGGUAGGCAGUCUGCCUAGGAGAGCAAACUCCGAACAAUAAACCCGGGCAGGUGGAGGUCGUCAGCCGUGGUAGGCAAUCUGCCUAGGAGAGCAAACUCCGAACAACAAACCCGGGCAGGUGGAGGUCGUCAGCCGUGGUAGGCAGUCUGCCUAGGAGAGCAAACUCCGAACAAUAAACCCGGGCAGGUGGAGCUCGUCAGCCGUGGUAGGCAGUCUGCCUAGGAGAGCAAACUCCGAACAAUAAACCCGGGCAGGUGGAGGUCGUCAGCCGUGGUAGGCAAUCUGCCUAGGAGAGCAAACUCUAAAUAAACCCGGGCUUGUGGUGCUCGUUAUACUGUCGUAGACAAUCCACGCGAUGGGAACACCAAAGAAAAGGAAAAUAAAAAAGAACACCAGAAAAAUGGAAAAUACAGAAACGAAACAUCAAGAAAAUAAACAAAAAGAUCAUCCACCUUUAGGCCCUAGCAUCGCCAAAAUUAUGGGUGGGUCUCUUCUGGGGAGAAAGCGGCUCACCCAGACCAAAGAACAUCAACAAGGGAUGAUAUAGAAAAGAACACCCAAAAAAUAUGGAAAAAGAACAGAAAAAACAUCGAAAAAGAAAAGCAACAGAAAUAAAUGAGCAACAUCGAGAAAAGAGAAAUACAAAGAAACAUCAUCCACCUUUCGGCCCCAAACAACAUCACCAAAAUUAUGGAUGGGUCUCUUCUGGGAGGAAAGCGGCUCAUCCAGACCAAGGAACAUCAACAAAAGGAUGAUAGGAAAAAAAUAACAACAAAAAGCAUCAAAAAUAAGUAAAAAGAAAAAGAACAGGAAAACAUCGAAAAAGAAAACAAAUGCAAUAAAAAGAACGAAAAACACGACAUCAAGAAAAUAAAAUAAAACAAACACCAUCCACCUUUCUGCCCUAACACAUCUCCAAAAUUAUGGGUGGGUCUCUUCUGGGAGGAAAGCGGCUCACCCAGACCAACGAACAUCAACAAAAGGAUGAUAGGAAAAAAGAACACCAUAAAAGAACAUCAAAAAAAGAAAA